CAGCCAUUAUGAAGCUUCUUGUGUUACUGCUUUGUCUGUCGGUUGUUCUCAACAUUGAGCAGGUCGUUACGGCACCAGCGCCGAGAUCUGAAGUUGACGAUGUUGCUAAGAGAGAAGAAGUCAUAAGCAAGAAUGUUCCAAAGAUCGUCUCUAAACGACGUUUCUUUUACAAGCCAGGUUCCCUAUCUUUGGGACCAUAAAGUGAAACAGUUCCCUGGUGAGGAGGAACAUAUACAAGAAAGGUAGCAUAACAAAAUUAAACAGUAUAAUGUUGUCAAUUUCAUGUUUCGAACAUCUCUUCCAACUAUAAAUAU